AGAAGUCAAAGAAGGGAGGCGCACAGCAGGAGGAGAAGAAAGAGGAGAUCCGCAGUCUUCAGGAGCAGCUGGCUGCCUUGAAGGAGAUCAGUGUGUCAAAAAGGCUCCCCAAAACAACCUGGCAGAUGCAGGAGAUGACCAGUCUUCAGUUGUCAACCACUUCGACAAGAUGCGUCCUUCACUGAAGAUGGACUGGACCUGCACUAUUGCUGCGCCGCUGUGACCAAUGUAGACAGGUGGUUGAGAUAAUCAGCCUCACAGAGCACCUGUUGGGGGAGUGUGAGAACAGGGCUGGGUUCAGCCAGUGCCCCCGGUGCUCAGAGGCCGUGCUCACGGACAAGCUCACCCGCCACACCCAGAGCCCUGUCUGCAACAGCCUGGAAGGCUCACCUCAUGGGCAGAGAGGGCUGUAAACAGAACUCACGGAGGACUGUGGUAUCGCAGUGAGCCCAGCAGGCACAAG